UACGUAGGGUGCGAGCGUUGUCCGGAAUUAUUGGGCGUAAAGGGCUCGUAGGCGGUUUGUCGCGUCGGGAGUGAAAACCUCGGGCUUAACUCGGGGCUUGCUUUCGAUACGGGCAGACUGGAGGUAUGCAGGGGAGAACGGAAUUCCUGGUGUAGCGGUGGAAUGCGCAGAUAUCAGGAGGAACACCAAUGGCGAAGGCAGAUCUCUGGGCCGUAACUGACGCUGAGGAGCGAAAGCAUGGGGAGCGAACAGG
rnacentral:rRNA from 1 species